rnacentral:rRNA from 1 species
GUAAUAGCUCACUGGUCGAGUGAAGUUGCGCGGAAAAUUACCGGGGCUAAGUUAUACACCGAAAUUGCGGAUUCAUUAAGAAAUUAAUGAGUGGUAGAGGAGCGUUCUAUACAGGAUGAAGUAUGAUCGAGAGGACAUAUGGACAGUAUAGAAGAGAGAAUGCCGGAAUGAGUAGCGAGAGCAAAGUGAGAAUCUUUGCCGUCGAAAAUCUAAGGUUUCCUGGGGAAGGUUCGUCCGCCCAGGGUAAGUCGGGACCUAAGGUGAGGCCGAAGGGCGUAGCCGAUGGACAGCAGGUUAAGAUUCCUGCACCAGUAUACAUGUAUAAUGCAUAAGAGGACACAUUUGAAGAAGAUGAGCGAGGAAGAGGAAAAACUCGUAUGGCAACAUAUAGUGAAAUUAAGUAACGAAUCAUCAAGAAGCAAGUGGCGAGAAAAGUCUUAUGUAGUUGUGUAGACUGCCCGUACCGCAAACCGACACAGGUAGAUGAGGAGAGGAUCCUAAGACGAGCGGGAGAAGCAUUGUUAAGGAACUCGGCAAAUUGACCCCGUAACUUAGGGAUAAGGGGUGCUGGUGUAAAAGCCAGUCGCAGUAAAUAGGCCCAAGCAACUGUUUAACAAAAACACAGGUUUCUGCUAAAUCGCAAGAUGAAGUAUAGGAGCUGACUCCUGCCCAGUGCUGGAAGGUUAAGGGGAAAGGUUAAGAAUAAUUCAUUAUAUCUGAAGCUUUGAACUCAAGCCCCAGUGAACGGCGGCCGUAACUAUAACGGUCCUAAGGUAGCGAAAUUCCUUGUCAGGUAAGUUCUGACCCGCACGAAAGGAGUAAUGAUUUGGGCACUGUCUCAACAAUGUACCCGGCGAAAUUGUAGUACUAGUGAAGAUGCUAGUUACCUGCGACAAGACGGAGAGACCCCAUGGAGCUUUACUAUAGCCUGAUAUUGGGCUUUGGUAUCUUAUGUACAGGAUAGGUGGGAGACUAUGAGAUUAAGACGCAAGUCUUAAAGGAGUCAACCUUGGAAUACCACCCUUAAGAUAUUAGAGUUCUAACUUGUGAUCAUAAACUGGUCAGAGGACAUUGUCAGGUGGGUAGUUUGACUGGGGCGGUCACCUCCUAAAGAGUAACGGAGGUGCGCAAAGGUUUCCUCGGCACGGUCAGAAAUCGUGCUAAUGAGUGUAAAGGCAUAAGGAAGCUUAACUGAGAGAGAGACAUCUCGACCAGAUACGAAAGUAGGUCUUAGUGAUCCGGUGGUAGAAAAUGGAAUUGCCAUCGCUCAACGGAUAAAAGUUACCCUGGGGAUAACAGGCUUAUCUCCCCCAAGAGUUCACAUCGACGGG